UCCCAUAUGGCUCAGUUGGUAGAGCAUGGUGUUUGCAACGCCAGGGUUGUGGGUUCGAUUCCCACGGGGGAC
rnacentral:tRNA from 1 species